rnacentral:tRNA from 1 species
GUUUUUGUGGUGUAAUUUGCACGAGAGUAUUUUCAAUUUUUAGGAGUAGUUAAAUGAUGUUAUCCAAAAU